rnacentral:rRNA from 1 species
UACGGAGGAUCCGAGCGUUAUCCGGAUUUAUUGGGCUUAAAGGGUGCGUAGGCGGCCUUGUAAGUCAGGGGUGAAAGACGGUAGCUCAACUAUCGCAGUGCCUUUGAUACUGCAGGGCUUGAAUGUACUUGAGGUAGGCGGAAUGUGACAAGUAGCGGUGAAAUGCAUAGAUAUGUCACAGAACACCAAUUGCGAAGGCAGCUUACUAAAGUAUGAUUGACGCUGAGGCACGAAAGCGUGGGGAUCAAACAGG